ACCUAAUGCACCUCUUAGUGCAGAGGAAGCCACGGGCCCAGAAGGUGAUUCUGAUCUGCCUGGAGUACUCCAAUCACCAGAUGUGAGGUCACAGCUAACAGCAGCUCCAAUGGCCCCAAGGAUCUUGGACAUCAGCAAGCUUUCAAGUCCGAGUAUGGCGUCUGUUGGUGCAGGGGGAGACGAUGUAGCAGAAGAGGCGGGUAGUCAUCAGGAUCUAGAGUCUUCUGAUGUUGCCCUUCAAGGAGGCUGGAAACCCCAAAGACUCCUAUGUGGAACAUGUUCACCACACCGCAAACAUGGCCACAAUACUCGGACCGUGUCGUGAGUGCACUGAAAAGUGGGAACAUCAUGGCAAACUGGGAUGCACUCAUCGCAGAGACCGCUUACUUCAUUUUGAAACAUCAUGACAUGAAAGCACCAUCAGAGUACGAUGAUGUAUGAAGGCUUGUCAGUGAGCGUUGGCCUUGCAUACUCUUUGAGGAGCAUGGCAAAAAACCAUGGAAUCACUUUGUAAAGAGACUUUCCCAGAAGAUGAGGAACAUAAGAUGGACCAGAAAAAGGAAGAUGGAACAAACCAAACAACCAGCUACAACUAGAAGGACUGCCGU